rnacentral:misc_RNA from 1 species
UAAAUGGUACUUUAUGUUUCUUAGACAUUAGAUACGUCUAAGAAACAUAUAUUAGGCUAAACAUGUGCUGCCUGGGUUAUUUCGAAUGCACCUUUUGUGAUAUUUGUUGUUAACGUUACGAUUAAAUUUGAGAGUCUAUAAUGUAAUAAUGUAAAAUUUGUAAAAUAGAAAAUCGAAUUACGUGAACGGAAAAAAGAACCUCUGUAUAAAAUUCAUCUGAUCUGAAAGCGUCCAAUUACAUACGAAGCUCAUUCAAGAACAAGGUAGUCAAGAUGGCGCAGCCAAUCAGAGCCCCAUUUCUCCGCUUCCAUUUUGCCUGCUCGGACAGCCAUCUUGCCGCUUAUCGAUGCUCCAUCUAAUCACUCGUUGGUCUAUGAUGAGCAUCGCCUUGCGCAAUUCGAGAUCUAUUCGAGAUCAGUCGGAGUCGAUAGUGCGACGCGGGGGGUUGUCGCGCUCUCGUGCGUGUAUACGUGUUCCUUCAAGUGUGUGGGUGUGUGUGUACGUGUGUGGUAGUGCGAGCGAGUAGUGCACCGCCGCCGUUGAUCGCGCGUUCCUGGUGCAAGCGCAGCAAGCUUCGCUUUACUUGCCGUUGGUCGCAGGCACCGAUGCGCGGUGCGGAACGUUAAAUGUGCGUGCAGGAUGUCGAAUCCGAGCGGUAGCAGGAGGAACGGGGCCAUGAAGAUUCGUCUAACAAUUUUAUGUGCCCGCAAUCUUGCUAGGAAGGAUUUAUUUCGCUUACCAGAUCCUUUCGCUAAGAUAACUGUUGAUGGUUCUGGACAGUGUCAUAGUACAGACACUUGUAAAGCUACCCUUGAUCCCAAGUGGAAUCAGCACUAUGAUCUAUAUAUUGGAAAGAACGAUGGAAUCACUAUAUCUGUGUGGAAUUAUCGGAAGAUUCAUAAAAAGCAAGGCGGUGGCUUUCUGGGAUGUGUACGCAUAUUAUCGAACACCAUCCAAAGACUUAAAGAUACAGGAUAUCAACGGUUGGAUCUGUGCAAAGCUCACUCCGAUGACACAGAUGUCGUUAAGGGACAGAUUGUAGUAUCCCUGAUGUCACGGGACGGCCACAAUGGUGCCGUGAGUAACACAGUCGGGCAUAACGCCGUGGUCGACGUGCUUGGAGAUUUAAGUUGCCCGAAUGACUUGCCGGACGGUUGGGAAGAACGUAGAACGCAUAGCGGUCGACUUUACUACGUAAAUCAUCACACGAAGAGCACGCAGUGGAUCCGUCCAAAUGCUCGGCCUAGCAAUGCGAUUAUAUCGACAACACCGGAACCACCGGCGUUGCCGUCGUCGGAACCGACGUCACCCAGUAGUAGCGCGAGCUCGCCGAACGUGAGGAACGAAGAGAGUCCGGCGAGGCACGCGUCACCCGAGUGGAAUGACGGGACGCCCAGUCAAACUCCCAGUCGAGAUAGUUCCGCGCAAAACACUCCGCGUAAUACACCGACGCAGCAGCAGCAGCAGCAAAAUCGCAAUAAUCAGCAACAGAACCAGCACAACGUGAGAAACGUGACGACGCCGGCAUCGUCCGCGAGAGAGCGUCGCAUCGUUCGAACUACCGAUGAACAGAAUGGUAAUCAAAGCAUGAACGGAAGGGCGGAGCGUGGUGUUAACGGCGGGGGCCAGGCGCGACGGCUUAAUCGCAGCAACAGAAAUAGAAAUAGCGUUAUGUCGAGCGGUGACCGGCGAACCGAUCCUCCGCAACCACCGGAUCUACCGCGCGGCUACGAAAUGAGGAAAACGCAGCAGGGCCAGGUGUACUUUUAUCACGUACCAACUGGAUCCUCUACCUGGCACGAUCCGAGGAUACCGCGUGAUUUGCAAGCCAACGAGUUGGCGAAUGAGCUCGGUCCCCUUCCCAGCGGAUGGGAAAUGAGACAGACGCACAGCGGACGGGUGUACUUCGUGGAUCACAACAACAGGACAACGCAAUUUACCGAUCCUCGGCUGUCCAGCCAAAUUAUCAGCAAUCUGUUGAAUAGGAGACAAAAUAAUAAUACGAGCAAUCACGCUCCGACUAAUGUAAACAAUUCUGUGACGAGCGAAACUGCCGAGACGGAUACCACGAGUUCGCCGAUGGUUCCGUCCAACACACCACAGCAGCCAACGAGAAAUGAAAAUGGAAGCAACAACAAUUCUCCGACGAUGGAAAGCGCGCUAACCCAAAAUGCUCAAACCGUGUCAGAAUUACCGAAGGAGCUUAUGGACAAUGAGCUUCUCCCAAAGUAUAAACGUGAUUUAGUAGCAAAAUUGAAGUGUCUUCGAGCAGAACUGAAUGCCCUUCAGCCUCAAAGCGGUCACUGUAGAUUGGAGGUGUCGAGGAACGAGAUAUUCGAGGAGUCAUACAGACUGAUAAUGAAAAUGCGUCCGAAAGAUAUGCGCAAGAGACUCAUGGUCAAAUUCCGCGGCGAGGAGGGGCUCGACUAUGGCGGCGUAGCGCGCGAAUGGCUGUAUCUGUUGUCCCAUGAGAUGCUGAAUCCGCAAUAUGGGCUCUUUCAGUAUUCGAGGGACGAUAAUUAUACACUUCAAAUUAAUCCGGAUUCGGGGAUAAAUCCCGAACACUUGUCGUACUUUCAUUUCGCCGGGAGGAUCAUCGGCAUCGCCGUUUUCCACGGCCAUCACAUCGACGGUGGUUUCACGACACCGUUCUACAAAAUGUUGCUUAACAAAGCUAUAACAUUGAGCGAUAUAGAGGGGGUCGAUCCAGAAUUACAUAGGAGUCUUACAUGGAUGCUAGAAAACAGUAUAGACGGCGUACUGGACGCUACGUUCUCCGUGGAGCACAGCAGUUUCGGCGUGUUGAAGAAUCACGAGUUGAAGCCGGGCGGUAAAGAUAUACCAGUGACGGAAGAAAACAAGAGAGAAUACGUCCGUCUAUACGUGAACUAUCGAUUCAUGCGCGGUAUCGAGCAGCAGUUCUUGGCGUUGCAGAAAGGAUUUCACGAGUUGAUUCCUCCCCUGUUACUGAGACCCUUCGAUGAGCGCGAACUCGAGUUAGUCAUUGGGGGUUUGGGCACGAUCGACAUAAACGAUUGGAAGAUGCACACACGGCUGAAGCAUUGCACGCCCGAUACACCGGUCGUGCAAUGGUUCUGGCAGAUAGUCGAAUCGUACGGUGAAGAAAUGAGGGCGAGAUUGCUUCAGUUCGUCACCGGCAGCUCCAGAGUGCCGUUGCAAGGAUUCAAAGCUUUGCAAGGAUCAACGGGAGCAGCGGGUCCGCGGCUUUUCACAAUCCACGCAGUUGACGCCCCGAGUGAAAAUCUACCAAAAGCGCAUACUUGUUUCAAUAGGAUAGACAUACCACAGAAUUAUCCGACCUAUCAGAAGAUGCUCGAUAAGCUUACGCAGGCGGUUGAGGAAACCUGUGGCUUUGCUGUUGAAUAAUAACGGUAAGCUCUUGCAGCUUCGGCAUUGAUCGUUAAUGUAUUAGUACGUGUCUCCGAAUAAUUAUAAAUCCCCGCGAUAAAUAUUCGACAGAGUUCACUAGAAAGAGAGAGAGAAUCGUUUAUUCUUCAUAUUUGAAACACCAAGAAGUUGUAAUCGAGAAGUUAUAAUUAAGAAGAAAUUAUGAAGAAGAAAAUCCGGUGAGGUAGUUGCUUAUAGAAAGGAAAUAUUGAUACCUAAGCUGAAUGAUGAAAUCACGAAUGAUUUCGGUACAAAUGUCUACAUGGCCUUGCAGUUAUAGAUUGGCGAUUGAUAAGAUUUGCAUAUCCGACGACGUAUGUUCUCUUCUCGACGCGAGCUAGAACGAGAAUUUUUAGAAAAUUGAUACGUCAGUCUUCAAGUUUCUAUUACUUGGUUGAAUGAUACCAGUAGCGAGAAUCAUUUCUCAUGGAUUUUUUAUUGACAAGUAUCAACGUGUCAAGAAUCUCGAGAUUACGAAUGUAGCAAUAGAUGACAUAGGAAAUAUUCACACAGCUAGUAAUGCGAUUCAAGUUGCGAUUCUGGAAGUUCUUAUAUAAGUAGUUGAAGCUUAUAAGUGAGCAACUUAGAAUCAAGGAGGAAGAAAGUAAGGCUUUUUGCGUUUAACGCGUCGGUAUUUAUUAUACGAUUGGCAUUAGCUUUUUCUCUUUCUUCUUCUCUUUGAAAGCCUUUAACUUCUCACUUUCGACUAUAACAAACCACACACGGAGUCAAUUAAUUCCAUAUCAGUUAUUUAUAAAGCAAUAGGACUUAGCGUCGGAGUCUUAGUAGCGAGAAAAGUACAUAUACGUAUGUAAUUCGCGUUCCAAUAGGGACAGACAUCAGCUAGACGCGCAAUACUGAGAAUCUAGUAUUUUGAAAUGUAUUAUUGGGCCUUGGUGUCUUAGGUAAUAAAUAGAGAGUUUGUACAUAUACAUAUAAUUCUGAACGCAAGUGUUAUAAGUGAUAUAGAUAUCAUUUCGAUAAAAAUUGUGAUAUAAUUUGUACAGAGUAUAAAAAUGAUGAUACUGAUGUGUUCUCUCUGGCAUUAUAUUAUUAAAUCUUUCAUUCGGUGCAAUAGAUAGAUGUAACGACACAUGAAAGAUACAAUCUUUCAGCUCUUGACGGCAUUAUUAAUAUUAUUUAGAGACAUGACAAACUUCGGAAAUCAAUCGCGUUUCUAUUUUUCUGAUAUUGUAACACUUUCGUUCAGAGCUUUCGUAAGCAGCUGGCGAACUUGGUUAUUGCUACGCACGCAACUCACGUGGCAAAAAGAUCAUUGUUGCUUGUUAGAAGUCAUUACCGAGUAUACAUUACUACACCGAGUGCGUUAAAAUAAUGAUGUAAAUAAUUUAUUAUAGAUUAACAUAAUAGUAAUGUAAUAGUAUUUUACACGCGGAUCGGAUGCGAUCCGGUCUGAUUUUAGCAUUGGCAAUUAAAGUCGUCUACAUUUAAGCUUUAAUUUAAAGCGUACAUUUCUUAAGGAAAGAGUUCAUUCGACGGGUUUACGUAAGCUUAAAACAUUUCGAUCGAACUGGCCUUUCUUUGUUUGAUUGAGAACUUCAUGAGACAUGUCUACACCUUGCUAGAUUACUUUUAGUGAGAUGUAGCGCUACGCCUUAUUUAUCGCACGAAAUCUUCGUUUAGUUCACCAGCACGUGAUGCUGUCGCAAAAAUGUUCGACGCGUAAUUACCGCAUAGUUAUGCGAAUGUCGUGUACAAUGCAUGACGGCACAGUUCAUUGUCUUGUAUGUAUAACUAUCAUCGUAUUAUUAUGUUUGAAUUAUUAUAUGCGCACGCAACUGUGAUGAAACAUAUCGUAGGCGAGAAGGAGCACCCGAAAAGUUCUCGCUUCUCGAGAAUUAAUGCGUAAUUCUACGUUCACUUUUGUACGCACGAUGUUAUCGAGAUCGAUAUAUACACACAUGUCCAUUUCGUUGACUCUCCUUCGGAAUAAAAUGUUCCCGUACUUCGGUCGAGCCGCGUGAAAGUAUCACCCGUUUUCAGUGUCUGAAACACGGCCUGAAUACUGAAGUGCUGUCGUACCGGGAAACAUAGCUAUUACGACUCAAAUAGGAAUAAUGGAUACAGCUCUUAGCGCUAGCUAACGUGUAUCGUGUAAAUAGACACCUCUAGCGGUACCUAUAUCUGUUGCCUUAAUUUCAAAUGUACACGAACUCUCGUAUCUCGUAGUCUGCUUCUCGGUAUCGGAUGCAGCCAGUAACGCCUCAAUAUUCCUGAAUAUGAUAUGUUAAAAAGUGAAUUCACUAAUUUUCUAUGAGAUAUAUAUUAUAUACAUUCGCCAAAUACGAAGUAAUUAAGGAGAAGUGCUAUUUUCAGUAUGUAUAAAUUGUUUAUCGACGACAAGUCUAAGAUCUAAGACGAGAUUAUCGGAUGUUUGAGGAAGUUAACAAAGCUGCGAGAGGGAUUUAGUGAGAUUUAUAUACGAAUCAAUGAAUACAUGUAUCGAAAAUAAUGGAUUUUCAUUUCAAAGAUAUUUGAAAUAUUCUUUUCACAUCGAAGAAGUUUAAUCAUUGUUUUAAACAAAGACGGUUGAGCAAAAGAUUAAUAGCUUUUAAUCAUAUUAGUAGAGAAGAGAGCCUCAUGAUCUUUCCAUUUGUUUUUUUAUAAUAAUCUUGUCGGUAUAGCGCAAUAAAGGCCUUAAACGUGCCUUGUUGUUGGCGUUGAUGAUAAACCAUAAAAAUUAUAUUCACCAUAUUUUGAGACGAGAUGUAAAUUUCAUCUUUCUGUCAAAACUAUUUCUAAAAAGACAUACAUAUGCAUGUUGCAAUUAUCAAUUUAUAAUACACGGUGACUACAUUAAUGAUUAAAAGAAUAGCAAAAUAAAAUAAUAGGAUUACAAUUCAAGUGAAAAGUAGCCAAAGAAGUAUCUUGAAGAAUUAAAUUUCUUUUACGGUAAAAGAAAUCCUUUAACUUAUAUGUAAUUAUGUGUUCUCAAACAAUUAGAAUGUUAUGUACAAUUUGCAACUAUCCAAUAUGUCAAUACCUUUUUUUUAAUGUGAAUGAUGUGUUAUAUACAUUGAUUGUGUUAACAUCGAAAGUUAUAUGCAUACAUUUAUCAGAACGUUGUAUAUACGUACUUUAUGAGAAUUAUAUUAAUUUUAACACAAGUGAUGUACAAAAAGUCAUAUCUAAACAAAAUAAUUAUAAAAUAAAUGUUAUAAUUAUUUCGAAAAAGUUUUGAAGUGAUGUUUGGAUUAUAAAGAUAAUAUUCAAAAAUGUAUAAAGAAGAUUAUAUAUAUCUGAUUAUCUGAAUUUUUGAUAUUAAUUAAUGAUUAAAGAACAACGUUAAUCAAUUAAUGAUUAAAGAACAAAGCGAGUGACAAACUAGUUGGUCUGUUAUUCAUGAAAUGUAUACCGAGAGAAAAAAAGGAUUAUGAAUACUGAGAGAAAGAAAGGAGAGAGACAAUAUUUAGCGAGAAACAAAACUCACGUAAAAUACGUACAAAUGAAUAUAUUGCGUAUUACACGAUGCACAGAAUAAUCUUGCUUGGAAGAGUUAUCAAGUAUCGCAAGGAAGUUUGUGGACCGAAAGGGAUGCGCGAACUUCAACACAUUUGCAAUUAGAAUCUGCAGUUUGUCUUGUUCGAAAUAUCAGGUGAUUGCAGUCGCCUUUUAACCCUUUAUCGGUCCAUUCAGCUAUUUCUGAAGGGUUUUUAGACUUUUCAGAAUCGGCGAGAGGAAGACCCGUGCGCGCAGUACAGAUGCCUCUAUUUAUAAAAUUGAUGUAGUUUUAUCGAGUUGUAAAUACAUUUGUCGAAAUCUUGCAAGUAAUGUAACAACGAGAGAUAUCGGUAAAGGGUUAAAUAUUAUGAGAAAUAAAGAAAUAAUAAAUAACAUCGCAGUAAGUUAUAGAUACCGCCUUUUUCUCCAGUGUCGGUCAGUCGACGUUAUAUAAAAUAAUUUUCUUAGGCGUUAAAGAAACGUUUACUAGAAUUUUUUACUAGUUUCAUCUUAAGAACAAGUAAUAAUGUUUAAAUGGAAGUUGCGAAAAUAUUUAUUCUACCAGUGGCAGAGACCCGUUCAUGAAUUUAGGCUUUAGCUUGUUUCGUUAAAAAUUCGCAGAUCGAAAAUUGUAAAUUGAUAUGUGGAUAACUAAUGUAAAUUGUUUUUUGUAUAAUUGAAUCGCAAGCGAUCGCUUUCCCUUCGUGUUUCUAGUUGCGAGAUUAUGUGUACUAUUAUUACUGCGGAUGUGUUAUUAUUAUUAUUAUUAUUGCUAACAUUGCGUCUCUGUUACUGUCCUAAUUAAUUACACAAGUCCUUCAAGAAACAAGUGUAUAUACAACUUUUCCUUUUGUAUUUUGGACGAAAUGUAUAUUUUAAUAAAAUAUCCAAAGUAUGGAAUACA